UACGUAGGGUGCGAGCGUUAAUCGGAAUUACUGGGCGUAAAGCGUGCGCAGGCGGUUUUGUAAGCCAGGUGUGAAAUCCCCGGGCUCAACCUGGGAAUGGCACUUGGGACUGCAAGGCUGGAGUGCGGCAGAGGAGACUGGAAUUCCUGGUGUAGCAGUGAAAUGCGUAGAUAUCAGGAGGAAUACCGAUGGCGAAGGCAGGUCUCUGGGCUGACACUGACGCUCAUGCACGAAAGCGUGGGGAGCAAACAGG
rnacentral:rRNA from 1 species